UGUUGAACAUUUUGUGUAAUAUUUAUUAUAUUAACGCUCUGUGUUUUUAUAUUUUGCCGAUUAACCUUGAGACAAUCAUCUUUGGGAAUCAAGUAUUAGCACGUAACAAUACUACGUCAUUGUUAGUAAACAAGUCGGAUGCUGAAGUCGAGUUGAAGCCGCUUUGGCCUAAUCGCAAGUUGUUUAUUGUGUAUACUCUUAUGGAUACCGUUUUAUUGGGAUAAUGAAGUGUAGUUUGCUGUAGUAAAAACGCCAACAAGGCAAGCCCUUAGGUAAGUUACAGCUUACGGUCAUCUGCACAUACACGAGAUCACAGUUACCCCCUACGAGACGACCGUUACUCCCUACGACACCACCGUUACCCCCUACGAGACCACCGUAACCCCCUACGAGACCACCGUUACCCCUACGACACCACCGUUACCCCCUACGAGACCACCGUAACUCCCUACGAGACCACCGUAACCCCCUACGAGAACACCAUAAGCAGCUACGAGACCACCGUAAGCACCUACGGAGGCCCCGUAAGGUCAGGUUCGCGUGCUAUCAGGCAUCAAACUACAGCGUGAACGAGUGAUUCUUCAGCAGCACUCGUUCCAGAACAUCAUGCCUAAUAGGCUAGUACAGGACAGAUUCUCCAGUAUAACAACAACUGACUGAAAAUGAAAGCAUCCGGACAACACACCUGGACAAAGAGCAUGCUGCAGCAGGGGAGCAAGGGACUCGGGCACCUACAGUAGUGGAUGUGCUACAGUGGAUACAGAUUCCCCUACUGCUAGGGGACCCACGGCCUAUCAGGGGUGGGUACCAUGCCUCACCGGUCAACCGAUAGCUGAGGAAACGUCCUGAAAACAAGGCACGGCGUUUGGAGAAGGAGAGCUGACUGACAGCUUAUAAUGGCCGCAGCAGCAGUGAGUGUGCCAGUUGAGGAGUGAAAUGAAGCGUUAAUCUGUGUUUGCAAAGGUUAUGGCCCCAUUUCUUGGCGCAUAAGACAACUCACACUAAUAUCUGUUACUCCUUGACUGAAUUUAGACAUACACAUUUAAAAAUAUGAAUAUACACGUUGCACUGACUCAAAACAUCCUGGGACCAGUCAGCAAUAGGUCAAAUAAUAGAUUUCCUGGUUGCGUUUCAUUACACCUCAGUUAUAUAAUGAGAUGAGUUAACG
ensembl:lncRNA